AAAAAAGAAAGGCUAAAGCUGUUACUCGUGCAGCAAAACAGUGACGCAUAAGACUAAAAACUCGAACGGCAUUCAAAGGAAAGUGCAAGAAGUACGAGUGGGACCAACAUACAGUUCAAACAUAGAGGACCAAGACGUUGAAGUUACAACUAUACCCCCACCUAUACCCAAGCCUGGUCAAGCAGGGCUAGACACUACUGGGAAGGAAUUUGUUUUCUUUGAUUUGGAAACAAGAGGGUUAGAGCACACUUCUCACAUAAUUCAGAUAGCUGCAGUGCAUUCAACUGGUCAAUUUUCAACAUAUGUGAUGCAUGAGAAGAAGAUUUCCUUGCAAGCGUCAGAAAUAACUGGAGUGACAGUUGUUAGCGACUCUAUGCUUGUCAAGAGACAAACAGUAACAGCUGUCCCCAUCAAAUCUGCAUUGACAAGUUUUAUAACAUUCUUACAGAAAUGUUCACCAAUUAUUUUAGUUGGGCAUAAUAUAGAGUCUUUUGAUUGUAAAGUGUUGCUCCGUGCUAUCCAUACUUGUUGAAAAAUGUUUGAGUUUCAGCAAAAUAUUUGUGGCUUUUUAGAUACUUAAAAAUGUUAAAGGAAAUAUUACCAAAUAUGAAAUCAUAUAAGC